GGAUUUAGCUCAGUGGUAGAGCGCUUGCCUAGCAAGUGCAAGGCCCUGGGUUCGAACCCCAGCUCCG
rnacentral:tRNA from 1 species